rnacentral:rRNA from 1 species
AUGGCCAUCCCCAAGGCUUUGCUUCUUGCCAUCCUAGGUUGCAUCUGCUUAUGCAGCAGCACUGUUCUGUCAGCUCGCGAGCUCGGCGACGUGUCCACGGUGGAGAGGCACGAGCAGUGGAUGGUGAAGUACAAUCGUGUUUACAAGGACGACGCCGAGAAGGCGCAGCGGUUCGAGGUGUUCAAGGCCAACGUUGCCUUCAUUGGGUCGUUCAACGCUGGAAACCAUAAGUUCUGGCUCGGUGUCAACCAGUUUACCGAUCUCACCAACGAUGAGUUCAGGGCAACCAAGACCAACAAGGGCUUGAAAAGGAGUGGCGGUAGGGCUCCAACUGGGUUCAAGUACAGUAAUGUCAUCACCGAUGCACUUCCAACAGUUGUUGAUUGGAGGACCAAGGGCGUUGUCACUCCUAUCAAAGACCAAGGCCAAUGUGGCAUUGUGAAGUUGAGCACCGGGAAGCUCAUCUCGUUGUCGGAGCAAGAGCUGGUUGACUGCGAUGUCCAUGGUGUGGAUCAGGGUUGUGAGGGUGGCGAGAUGGACGACGCCUUCAAAUUCAUCAUUAAGAACGGCGGCCUCACAACCGAGUCCAACUACCCAUACACGGCACAGGAUGGGCAGUGCAAGACCAGCAUUGCAAGCACCAGUGUGGCAACCAUCAAGGGCUACGAAGAUGUCCCCGCCAACGAUGAAUCUUCUCUUAUGAAAGCAAUCGCUAACCAACCUGUAUCAGUAGCUGUGGACGGAGGGGAUGUCAUAUUUCAACAUUACUCUGGCGGGGUGAUGGCCGGCUCCUGCGGAACUGAUUUGGACCAUGGGAUAGCGGCGAUUGGGUAUGGCAUGACGAGUGAUGGAACUAAGUAUUGGCAACUGAAGAACUCAUGGGGCACCACAUGGGGUGAGAAUGGUUACCUCAGAAUGGAGAAGGAUAUUUCAAACAAGAGUGGUAUGUGUGGCUUGGCCAUGCAACCUUCCUACCCCACCGAGUAG